rnacentral:rRNA from 1 species
CGGGACACGUGGUAUCCUGUCUGAAUAUGGGGGGACCAUCCUCCAAGGCUAAAUACUCCUGACUGACCGAUAGUGAACCAGUACCGUGAGGGAAAGGCGAAAAGAACCCCGGCGAGGGGAGUGAAAAAGAACCUGAAACCGUGUACGUACAAGCAGUGGGAGCACGCUUAGGCGUGUGACUGCGUACCUUUUGUAUAAUGGGUCAGCGACUUAUAUUCUGUAGCAAGGUUAACCGAAUAGGGGAGCCGAAGGGAAACCGAGUCUUAACUGGGCGUUAAGUUGCAGGGUAUAGACCCGAAACCCGGUGAUCUAGCCAUGGGCAGGUUGAAGGUUGGGUAACACUAACUGGAGGACCGAACCGACUAAUGUUGAAAAAUUAGCGGAUGACUUGUGGCUGGGGGUGAAAGGCCAAUCAAACCGGGAGAUAGCUGGUUCUCCCCGAAAGCUAUUUAGGUAGCGCCUCGUGAAUUCAUCUCCGGGGGUAGAGCACUGUUUCGGCAAGGGGGUCAUCCCGACUUACCAACCCGAUGCAAACUGCGAAUACCGGAGAAUGUUAUCACGGGAGACACACGGCGGGUGCUAACGUCCGUCGUGAAGAGGGAAACAACCCAGACCGCCAGCUAAGGUCCCAAAGUCAUGGUUAAGUGGGAAACGAUGUGGGAAGGCCCAGACAGCCAGGAUGUUGGCUUAGAAGCAGCCAUCAUUUAAAGAAAGCGUAAUAGCUCACUGGUCGAGUCGGCCUGCGCGGAAGAUGUAACGGGGCUAAACCAUGCACCGAAGCUGCGGCAGCGACGCUUAUGCGUUGUUGGGUAGGGGAGCGUUCUGUAAGCCUGUGAAGGUGUGCUGUGAGGCAUGCUGGAGGUAUCAGAAGUGCGAAUGCUGACAUAAGUAACGAUAAAGCGGGUGAAAAGCCCGCUCGCCGGAAGACCAAGGGUUCCUGUCCAACGUUAAUCGGGGCAGGGUGAGUCGACCCCUAAGGCGAGGCCGAAAGGCGUAGUCGAUGGGAAACAGGUUAAUAUUCCUGUACUUGGUGUUACUGCGAAGGGGGGACGGAGAAGGCUAUGUUGGCCGGGCGACGGUUGUCCCGGUUUAAGCGUGUAGGCUGGUUUUCCAGGCAAAUCCGGAAAAUCAAGGCUGAGGCGUGAUGACGAGGCACUACGGUGCUGAAGCAACAAAUGCCCUGCUUCCAGGAAAAGCCUCUAAGCAUCAGGUAACAUCAAAUCGUACCCCAAACCGACACAGGUGGUCAGGUAGAGAAUACCAAGGCGCUUGAGAGAACUCGGGUGAAGGAACUAGGCAAAAUGGUGCCGUAACUUCGGGAGAAGGCACGCUGAUAUGUAGGUGAAGUCCCUCGCGGAUGGAGCUGAAAUCAGUCGAAGAUACCAGCUGGCUGCAACUGUUUAUUAAAAACACAGCACUGUGCAAACACGAAAGUGGACGUAUACGGUGUGACGCCUGCCCGGUGCCGGAAGGUUAAUUGAUGGGGUCAGCGCAAGCGAAGCUCUUGAUCGAAGCCCCGGUAAACGGCGGCCGUAACUAUAACGGUCCUAAGGUAGCGAAAUUCCUUGUCGGGUAAGUUCCGACCUGCACGAAUGGCGUAAUGAUGGCCAGGCUGUCUCCACCCGAGACUCAGUGAAAUUGAACUCGCUGUGAAGAUGCAGUGUACCCGCGGCAAGACGGAAAGACCCCGUGAACCUUUACUAUAGCUUGACACUGAACAUUGAGCCUUGAUGUGUAGGAUAGGUGGGAGGCUUAGAAGUGUGGACGCCAGUCUGCAUGGAGCCGACCUUGAAAUACCACCCUUUAAUGUUUGAUGUUCUAACGUUGACCCGUAAUCCGGGUUGCGGACAGUGUCUGGUGGGUAGUUUGACUGGGGCGGUCUCCUCCUAAAGAGUAACGGAGGAGCACGAAGGUUGGCUAAUCCUGGUCGGACAUCAGGAGGUUAGUGCAAUGGCAUAAGCCAGCUUGACUGCGAGCGUGACGGCGCGAGCAGGUGCGAAAGCAGGUCAUAGUGAUCCGGUGGUUCUGAAUGGAAGGGCCAUCGCUCAACGGAUAAAAGGUACUCCGGGGAUAACAGGCUGAUACCGCCCAAGAGUUCAUAUCGACGGCGGUGUUUGGCACCUCGAUGUCGGCUCAUCACAUCCUGGGGCUGAAGUAGGUCCCAAGGGUAUGGCUGUUCGCCAUUUAAAGUGGUACGCGAGCUGGGUUUAGAACGUCGUGAGACAGUUCGGUCCCUAUCUGCCGUGGGCGCUGGAGAACUGAGGGGGGCUGCUCCUAGUACGAGAGGACCGGAGUGGACGCAUCACUGGUGUUCGGGUUGUCAUGCCAAUGGCACUGCCCGGUAGCUAAAUGCGGAAGAGAUAAGUGCUGAAAGCAUCUAAGCACGAAACUUGCC